rfam:Habropoda laboriosa contig16071, whole genome shotgun sequence.
UGGCGUAGCGGGCAAAGCCUCGGCUUGCCAAUCCGAAGGUCCCGGGUUCGAUUCCCGG